AUUGAACGCUGGCGGCAGGCCUAACACAUGCAAGUCGAACGAGCGGCGGACGGGUGAGUAAUGUCUGGGCACAUGGCUGAUGGAGGGGGAUAACUACUGGAAACGGUAGCUAAUACCGCAUACCAUCAGAUGUGCCCAGAUGGGAUUAGCUGGUUGGUGGGGUAAUGGCUAACAUAGGCGACGCUCCCUAGCUGGUCUGAGAGGAUGACCAGCCACACUGGAACUGAGACACGGUCCAGACUCCUCAGGGAGGCAGCGGUGGGGAAUAUUGCACAAUGGGCGCAAGCCUGAUGCAGCCAUGCCGCGUGUGUGAAGAAGGCCUUCGGGUUGUAAAGGACUUUCAGCGAGGAGGCGUUACUCGCAGAGGAAGCACCGGCUAACUCCGUGCCAGCAGCCGCGGUAAUAC
rnacentral:rRNA from 1 species